AAUUUGAUCUUGGUUCAGGACAAACGCUGGCGGCGUGCCUAACACAUGCAAGUCGAACGGACCCUUCGGGGGUUAGUGGCAGACGGGUGAGUAACACGUAGGUAAUGUACCUUCUUGCUGGGGAUACCUACCGAAAGGGUGGUUAAUACCGAAUGGUCUCGCGCUGCGGCAUCGCGGUGCGAGUAAAGUGAUUUUAGCGCGAGAGGAUCAGCCUGCGGGCCAUCAGCUGGUUGGUGGGGUAACGGCCUACCAAGGCAUCGACGGUUAGCCGGUCUGAGAGGAUGAUCGGCCACACUGGAACUGAGAGACGGUCCAGACUCCUACGGGAGGCAGCAGUGAGGAAUAUUGCGCAAUGGGCGGAAGCCUGACGCCAGCGACGCCGCGUGAGGGAUGAAGGUUUUCGGAUCGUAAACCUCUGUUAAGCAGGGAAGAGAACGGACGGUACCUGCUGAGGAAGCAUCGGCUUACUACGUGCCAGCCGCGGC
rnacentral:rRNA from 1 species